rnacentral:rRNA from 1 species
GGGGGCCCGCAAGCGGUGGAGCAUGUGGUUUAAUUCGAAGCAACGCGCAGAACCUUACCGGGGCUUGACAUGGGGAGGUCGUGAUCAGAGAUGGUCAUUUCCCGCAAGGGACCUCCUGCACAGGUGCUGCAUGGCCGUCGUCAGCUCGUGUCGUGAGAUGUUGGGUUAAGUCCCGCAACGAGCGCAACCCUCGCCUUUAGUUGCCAGCAUGUUUGGGUGGGCACUCUAAAGGAACUGCCGGUGACAAGCCGGAGGAAGGUGGGGAUGACGUCAAGUCCUCAUGGCCCUUAUGUCCUGGGCUACACACGUGCUACAAUGGCGGUGACAGUGGGAAGCCAAGCAGCGAUGCUGAGCUGAUCUCUAAAAGCCGUCUCAGUUCGGAUUGCACUCUGCAACUCGGGUGCAUGAAGGUGGAAUCGCUAGUAAUCGUGGAUCAGCAUGCCACGGUGAAUACGUUCCCGGGCCUUGUACACACC